rnacentral:rRNA from 1 species
GAUGAACGCUGGCGGCGUGCCUAAUACAUGCAAGUCGAGCGAACGGACGAGAAGCUUGCUUCUCUGAUGUUAGCGGCGGACGGGUGAGUAACACGUGGAUAACCUACCUAUAAGACUGGGAUAACUUCGGGAAACCGGAGCUAAUACCGGAUAAUAUUUUGAACCGCAUGGUUCAAAAGUGAAAGACGGUCUUGCUGUCACUUAUAGAUGGAUCCGCGCUGCAUUAGCUAGUUGGUAGGGUAACGGCUUACCAAGGCAACGAUGCAUAGCCGACCUGAGAGGGUGAUCGGCCACACUGGAACUGAGACACGGUCCAGACUCCUACGGGAGGCAGCAGUAGGGAAUCUUCCGCAAUGGGCGAAAGCCUGACGGAGCAACGCCGCGUGAGCGAUGAAGGUCUUCGGAUCGUAAAACUCUGUUAUUAGGGAAGAACAUAUGUGUAAGUAACUGUGCACAUCUUGACGGUACCUAAUCAGAAAGCCACGGCUAACUACGUG